rfam:Solanum lycopersicum cultivar Heinz 1706 chromosome 11, whole genome shotgun sequence.
GUUCAAGUCCAAGAUGGACCAGCUACGCCAGGGAAAAGAAUAGAAGAAGUAUCUGACUUCUUCAUGCAUGAUCCACUUGUCUCGAGGGGAUAUAGCUCAGUUGGUAGAGCUCCGCUCUUGCAAUGCGUUGAGGCGCAGUAGUUGACUGUACAUCUAGGGGUAAAGCACUGUUUCGGUGUGGGCGGCAAGCGCGGUACAAAAUCGAGGCAAACUCUGAAUACUAGAUAUGACCUCAAAAUAAAUAGGGGUCAAGUUUGGCUAGUGAGACAAUGGGGGAUAAGCUUCAUCGUCGAGAGGGAAACAGCCUAAAUAACCAGCUAAGGCCCCUAAAUGACCGCUCAGUGAUAAAGGAGGUAGGGGUGCAGAGAAAGCCAGGAGGUUCCUAGAAGCAGCCACCAUUGAAAGAGUGCGUAAUAGCUCACUGAUCGAGUGCUCUUGCAUCGAAGAAUAACGGGGCUAAGCGGUCUGCCGAAGCUGUGGUAUGUAAAAAUACAUCGGUAAGGGAGUGUUCCGCCUUAGAGAGAAGCCUGUGUGUGAGCGGUGGUGGAUGAAACAGAAGUGAAAAUGUUGGCUUGACUAACGCAAAAAUUGGUGAGAAUCCAAUGCCCCAAAAAACUAAGGGUUCCUCCGCAAGGUUCGUCCACAGAAGGUGAGUCAGGGCCUAAGAUAAGGCCGAAAGGCGUAGUUUAUGGACAACAGGUGAAUAUUCCUGUACUACUUCUUGUUAGUCCAAGGUACGGAGGAGGCUCGGUUAGCCGAAAGAUGGUUAUAGGUUCAAGAACGUAAGGUGUCCCUGCUUUUUCAGGGUAAGAAGGAGUAGAGAAAAUGCCUCGAGCCUAUGUUCGAAUACUAGGUGCUACGAUGUUGAAUUAACCCAUGGCAUACUCCCACGAAAUGCUCAAACGACGUUAAGCGAGGGUACCUGUACCCAAAACUGACACAGGUGGGUAGGUAGAGAAUCCCUAGGGGCUCGAGACAACACUCUCUAAGGAACUCGGCAAAAUAGCCCUGUAACUUCGGGAGAAGGGGUGCCUAUUCACAAAGGGUGUCGCAGUGACCAGGCUCGGGCGACUGUUUACCAAAAACACAGGUCUCCGAAAAGUCAUAAGACAAUGUACGGGGGUUGACGCCUGCCCACUGACGGAAGGUCAAGAAAGUUAGUGACCUGAUGACAUGGGAGCCAGCGAUUGAAGCCCUGGUGAACGACGGUCUUAACUAUUACGGUCCUAAGGUAGCGAAAUUCUUUUCAGGUAAGUUUUGACCCGCACGAAAGGCGUAACGAUCUGGGCACUGUAUCAGAGAAAGGCUCAGUGAAAUAGACAUGUCUGUGAAGAUGCGCACUACCUGCACCUGGAUAGAAAGACCCUAUGAAGCUUCACUGUUCCCUAGGAUUGGCUUUGGGCCUUUGCUGCGCAGCUUAGGUGGAAGGCAAAGAAGGCCUCCUUCCGGGGGGCCCGAGCCGUCAGUGAGAUACCACGCUGGAAGGGAUAGAAUUCUAACCUUGAAUCAGGACCUACGGGCCAAGGGACAGUCUCAGGUAGACUGUUUCUAUGGAGCGUAGGCCUCUCAAAAGGUAAUGGAGGUGUGCAAAGGUUUCCUCGAGUCGGAUGGAGAUUGGCCCUCGAGUGAAAAGGCAUAAGGGAGCUUGAAUUCAAGAUCUACCCAUCGAAUAGGGAUGAAAGUCGGCCCUAGUGAUCCAAUGGUACCGACUGGAAGGGCCAUCUCUCAACAGAUAAAAUUUACUCUAGGGAUAACAGGUUGAUCUUCCCCAAGAUCUCACAACGACGGGAAGGUUUGGCACCUCGAUGUCGGCUCUUCGCCACCUGGGGAUGUAGUAUGUUCCAAGGGUUGGGUUGUUCUCCCAUUAAAGCGGUAUGUGAUCUAGGUUCAGAAUGUUGUGAGACAGUUUGGUCCAUAUCUGGUGUGGGCUUUAGAGCAUUGAGAGGACCUUUCCCUAGUACGAGAGAAUCGGGAAGGACGCACCUCUGAUGUACCAGUAUCGUGCCCACGGUAAAUGCAGAGUAGCCAAAUGCGGAGCAGAUAACUGCUGAAAGUAUCUAAGUAGUAAGCCCACCCCAAGAUGAGUGAUCUCCUAUUCCGACUUCCCUCAAAGCUUCUGGUAGUACAACCGAGACAGCGACAUGUUCUCUGCCCCUGCGGGGAUAGAGCGACUGAAAUUUUUUUGAGAAUUCAAGAGAAGAUCACGGCGAGACAAGUCGUUUAUCAAUACGAUAGGUGUCAAGUGGAAGUGCAGUGAUGUAUGCAGCUGAGGCAUCCUAACAGACCGGUAGACUUGAACCU